rnacentral:lncRNA from 1 species
GUGGACUAGUGGCUGAAGACCCACAGGCCCGUGGAGCUGGCCGUCUUCUCUCCCUGUCUAGCAGAGCAUGGAAGUGCUUCUCCGUGCAAACAUACGUGCCACAUCCCCAGGUGCCAGGGUGAGAUGGAAUGUCCGGUGGGAGCCCACCCUGAGGCUUCUGUGGAAACCAUCGAAGCCACCAGUGUAGAAAGACUUCAGCAUUCCUACUAACUCCCUCUCAGAACCUCUACAUUGCCAAAAAUUAUAGUUCUGAAAUAGCAGCUGAAGGAAGAGAGGCACAAUAUGCUACAGACAGAGACCACUGAGGCUCCCACCCAGGUCAGAAGGCCACCCUGUGAUGAUGUGUCACCUCAUGAAGUGCCAAGGGCCUUUAAGUGCUAUUGGGAGAAGGAUGGAAUGACUAGUCUGCCCCCAAAUGCUCCAAUUUAACUUACCAACCAGUGCAAAUGCAAGUCGGCCCUACCCCUUAGUGCAUGCUAAGAGCCAUCUGUAGACUGGAAACUGCCGUGGAGGCUGUGCGGAUGGGGGGCUCCCCUUUCUUAGCUCGGGGCUGUCAGUUUCCGGAUCCUUCCCUCAUGGAGAAUGCACCUUCUAUUCCCACUCUGUUUUGGCAGUCUGAAGGGGUGCUUUGGCCGAGACUGCUUUAUCUGGGGGGAAAUGGCUCCGCAGCAUGCAAGGCUCUGCAGUGCACGAACUGAGCAUUUCAAGGCAAUAGAAGAACCUUGGCAAAAUCUGGAAAAAUUAUCUUCAAACCUACAAAAACGAAGGAAGUUCUUUGUACAACAUCUGCCUGAGCAAAACUGCCUUUGCGAGCCCUUAAUAUACCCACUGGUGCCCAGCUGGGAAUGAAAUGGAGAAGUUCAGUGUGCCCUUUUGUUUGCUUCUUGUUUUAAGGGGAUCCUGCAAGAAAAAUUUGAGUGCACAGUUUCUGUAUUCAAAGAGGCUAUAAUCAGGUUGUGAAGACCACAUUUAACAUGACAAAGGUGAAUAAACCAAGUACGUUACAGAAGUGUUCA